rnacentral:rRNA from 1 species
AACGAACGCUGGCGGCAUGCCUAACACAUGCAAGUCGAACGAGACCUUCGGGUCUAGUGGCGCACGGGUGCGUAACGCGUGGGAACCUGCCCUUAGGUUCGGAAUAACUCCCCGAAAGGGGUGCUAAUACCGGAUAAUGUCUUCGGACCAAAGAUUUAUCGCCUUUGGAUGGGCCCGCGUUGGAUUAGCUAGUUGGUAGGGUAAAAGCCUACCAAGGCGACGAUCCAUAGCUGGUCUGAGAGGAUGAUCAGCCACACUGGGACUGAGACACGGCCCAGACUCCUACGGGAGGCAGCAGUGGGGAAUAUGGGACAAUGGGCGAAAGCCUGAUCCAGCAAGGCCGCGUGAGUGAUGAAGGCCUUAGGGUUGUAAAGCUCUUUUACCCGGGAUGAUAAUGACAGUACCGGGAGAAUAAGCUCCGGCUAACUCCGU